AGUUAAUCAGUUUAAGAUGUCAUGAAACAUUUAAUUUGAGAUGUUAACUAAAGACUGCUGUUAGCUUUUGGCAACGUGGAGGCCCUAAAGAAGAGCAUCUUCACCUGACAAGUGGGAUCAACAGUAGACUGCAGUGGGUUGAGGCACAAGUGAGAGAUAUGAGGUUGGGGGCAACAUUUAUUGGACUGACAACUUUUUCCAACAUGGAGCUGUGAAGCUGCAGGUUGAUUGAUGGCAUCACAUCGAAGAACACUCUGGGGGGAGCUGUUUAUCCCCAUCUUCCAUCUGGAGCUGCUGGGAUAGAGUUCACUGUGAUGAUGGCUACUGAAUGAGCUGCACUGGCAGGACCUCUGUGACAAGGAAGGAUUGCGGCUAGGGAGCCAGGCCCGAAUCAAAGGAUGUCAAGGAAAUGAAUGGAGCUAAGCAGGAAACAGCCAACUCUUCUCAAACAUGAUGGGGCAGCAAUUCAAAAAGAAAGAUGGUGCACAGCUUUUAAAACUACAAAAUGGGAGAAUAUUAUGUUCCUUUGUUCUUUCACUUACAGAGGUUACUUUAUAGAUAUGUGUUUCAGAUCAAAUAAAC
rnacentral:lncRNA from 10 species